AUGGCCGUGGGGUCAAGGGGAAUGGUGGGGGAGAAGGGGCACUCGGGGCCAUGGAGCACAGCCCUCGCAGCCUGCCAGAGCUGGGCACAUGGAGCCCAGCACCGUGUGGUGCUGGUGCCACUGGCUGCGAGACAGACGGGGACAGGGGCCAUGGUGAGGCUGCGGGUGGCUCUCCUGGUGUCCCCAGCACACAGCCGGUGCGGCAGGACCCUGCCCUGCCACGCAGGUGGCCCUGGGCUUGCUGCCCUAUGGCAGCCGGGGCAGCCGGGUGGUGCCCCAGGGAGAAGGAUGCCCCCUUUUGGGCAGGGCUGUCACCUCCCCACCACGGCACGGGGCAUCCGCGUGCCCAAACGCAUCCCGCACCCCUCGGUGGGGACUGCGGGUGACGUCCCCUCCCUGGCCCCUGCGGGGACACCGGGCGGGGUGGCGGCAGGGUGGCUGCGUGCCCCACGCCGGGGGGAGAAGCGGGGUGGUCUGGCGUGCCCCACGGGGGGGCUUCCUGGAAGGAUGGCCCCCAUCCUCCCCCCCCGCCGGGGCCGAGUGACGUCCUUGCUCCUUGCUCAGCGGCGGAGCGUGCGGCGAGGCCCGCGGAGGAGCUCUGCCUGUGCCAGGCAUGCUCCUGACGCGGAGGGGAUGACGCAUGCAAAGCCUCGGCUCCAGCUCCGUGACCACCGGCGGCGGGGCCGGGGGGGGCCACGGAGCCGCCUCCGUUUGCUCCGGAGGGCAGGGAGGGGAGAGGCCGGCUGGGGGGGACCCCCCCUCGGGGGCUCACAGCCGCGCCGCCGGGCCCGGGGCCGUGCCCAACGCGGCGCCGAGCACCUGCCCUCCGCUCCUCCCGGGCACCACCGGCGUGGCCCCGUUCGCCGGCGGCUCUGCAGGCGGGGCUGGGGCUGGCGAAGCCCCGGGGGGGCGCAGCGCGGGGCCGGGACCCCCCGUGCGCCGGGCGCGCUCCCUCUCCCCGCUGCCUCCUCCUGCGGGCGCUCGGCGGCGCAGCAGCCCGGAGCCCUUACCUGGAAGCGCUUCUUCACCCAGAUCUUCUUCAUGCUUCUGCAGAGCCCCGGCGGCCCGGCCCCGGCGGCUCAGGCCCGGCAGGACGCCCGCCCGCUGCCGGCGGGGGGCCCGGGCUCAGCGCGGCGCGGGGCCGGAGCCCCUCCGAGCAUCCUCCCCGGCGGCAGCCGGGCACGGCCGAGGGAGAGGAAGGGGCUCGCCAGGUCGGGCUCUCGGGAGGGCUGGAGCUGCGAGCAUGAAGCAUCACUGGAGUGCUCCUCCCUCCAUCCUUCCCCCGCCUGCCUCCGCCUCCGCCUCCCCGCCAGCCCCGGCACGCAGCGGCAGCGGCGCAGGUGGCGGGGGGCGAGGGGCGCACACGUCCCGCACCCCCCUCCCGGCCCCGCGGGACGCGGGGCUCUGAGCCCCCUGCCCAGCGCCGUGCCCUGCCGUGCCGCUGUCCCUGCCCCGCCGCCGGGGGCAGAGGCUCCCUGCCCUCCUGCGCUCGGCACCGUGGGGCUCAGCCCACGCCGGGGCUCCCACACGCACCCCAAGGCAGAUAAUGUCCACGCACCGUCCCCAACGUGCCCACAGACAGGCCAGCUCUGGUGCCACAACGGUGCCCAGCCCAGACCUGCUCAGCAACCCCCCCCAAAGCCCUCCAUCCAUGGGUGA
rnacentral:lncRNA from 1 species